AACGGGUGGAGCUUGCGGUUUAAUUGGAUUCAACGCCGGAAAUCUUACCGGGACCGACAGCAAUAUGAAGGCCAGGCUGAAGACUUUGCCGGAUUAGCUGAGAGGUGGUGCAUGGCCGUCGUCAGUUCGUACUGUGAAGCAUCCUGUUAAGUCAGGCAACGAGCGAGACCCACGCCCACAGUUGCCAGCGUACUCUCUGGAGUGACGGGUACACUGUGGGGACCGCCGCUGCUAAAGCGGAGGAAGGAAUGGGCAACGGUAGGUCAGUAUGCCCCGAAUAUCCCGGGCUACACGCGAGCUACAAUGGUUGGUACAAUGGGUAUCUACCCCGAAAGGGGACGGGAAUCUCCUAAAACCAAUCUUAGUUCGGAUUGAGGGCUGCAACUCGCCCUCAUGAAGCUGGAAUCCGUAGUAAUCGCGUUUCAAUAGAACGCGGUGAAUACGUCCCUGCUCCUU
rnacentral:rRNA from 1 species